GUUUCAGACGAACCCUCGUGGGGUCGAAAC
rnacentral:other from 1 species